GUUAAAAAGCUCGUAGUUGGAUUUCUGUCGAGGGCGGGCGGUCCGCACUAUGUGCGUGUAUCUUGUUCGGUCUUGGCAUCCUCUUGGGGAAUGCUUCUGUGCUUGAUUGCAUGGGGUGGAAUUCAAGACUUUUACUUUGAGGAAAUUAGAGUGUUCACGGCAAGCUACCGCUUUGAAUACAUUAGCAUGGAAUAAUAAUAUAGGGCGUAAGUUCUAUUUUGUUGGUUUCUAGGACAUACGCAAUGAUUAAUAGGGACAAUUGGGGGGCAUUUUUCGGUUAUUUUAAAAACCGGCCGGUUCCAAGGAAGGGGUUGGGGAAAUUUUUCUUUAAAGAAUUUGGCGUUUUACGAACGAAACUACUGCGAAAGCAUUUGCCAAAGAUGUUUUCAUUGAUCAAGAACGAAAGUAUGGGGAUCGAAGACGAUUAGAUACCGUCGUAGUCUAUACCAUAAACUAUGCCAAUUAGAGAUUGGGCGUCGUUCGUUUUAUGACUCGCUCAGCACCUUAUGAGAAAUCAAA
rnacentral:rRNA from 1 species